ensembl:lncRNA
GUUGAAUGAGAGGAGAAAAUAAAGAACCCGCUGGUGAUGAAUAGGAAAUGAGUAGCUCAGAUAAGUCAUCUGAUUUGUCCACCCCUGGAGAGUGGGACAGCUUACACAGAAAUACACUACACUAUAGUGUGUCAUUCAUAGAUACGUGGUUUUUCUUCUAAACACUCGGUCAAGCUCGUUAAUAUCAUGCAAGAUAUUACACAUUAUGCCAGCUUCAUGUAAAAGUCCCUACUCAAAGAUGACUAAAAUACCAGCACUCAUAUCACGCCAUUUUAGAGCUCGAGGCUCCCCGACACACGCCGUUAAUGACAUCAUCACAGUUUCUAUCCUGACUGAAAAACACCUUACGUCUUUAUUGAAACCUUUCACCUAUUGAAAAUCUCUCAGAUUCUUGUCUCUUUUUUAAAAAGAAUUUUUAACAGAGUUGCUGAGGUGACAUGCUGAUGAUAUCUCAAUAUGGUAUGACCAUGAAUCCAUAUAUUUUCUGGAGAUCCAUUUUUGCGGCCACGGAGUGCAAGGUGUCCGAAAACGAUCUUUACAACUUUAAUACCAAAUGGAAAAUUAAAUAAACGUGCGUGGAAUUACAGUUCAGGGAAAUUUACAUAUACACAGAUGUGUUUAUUCUUAAAGUAACAAAGUUACAAACAAUCACUGCGAGCGCCAUGAGCACAGUUUAAUGUGCUUCUCUGUCAAACGGGACAAUCCUAGUAUUUCUACAACUCCUGCUUGACUUUUUACAUCGGAUAGAAGGUGUUAAGAUCAUUUUUGGACACAGUGUACUUUAACUCAUUGCAAAUACUGAUUAUAAAAUGAGCGAGUCAAAGAAAUCUCUUGAUUUAGAUCAGUGUGGUCACAGGAGCCCAAACACAGUAAGACUUCAGGCUUGAAAUGAAGAAUAAAGACAUUGUGGAGUCACUGGCGUUUUGACACUAGCUCACAUCACCAUAAGGGAAUUUUAAACGAGCAUUUCCACCAAAUAUUUAACCGGAGGCCUUGUAUUAAGUAUGAUCUUCUAUAACAGAUGAACUCAUGGUUAUAUUAUUCAUGGCCACGACUUCUUUAUCUUGUAGCCACAACAUAAUAAUUCAUAUAUAUAUAUAUAUAUAUAUAUAUAUAUAUAUAUAUAUAUAUAUAUAUAUAUAUAUAUAUAUAAAUGCUAUCAUUAGAUGAACAAGAUCUCAGGUGGAGAACAUGUGACUGGAUCUCGUUCAGUUUCAUACAAUUAAGUUGUAAGAAAAGGUACGAACACUAAUCCCACCCCCAAAUCCUAAUCCUAAACCUAACCUUUUAUACACGUUGAGUAAUGCGAAUAGUUAUAAAGCAGCAAGUGUAAGACCAUACUGAAACCAAGAGAAUAAAUUACAGUCAAUUACUUUUCAUUGCUUGAGGAUGAUUGACUUUUUAACUUUCAAUCCAGUAUAAUUUCAACUAGCUACAGUGGGGUCCAAACGUCUGAAACCACACUGAUAUCUUUUCGUUUUCAUUCAAAAUUGGAAAUAAACAGAAGGUUUUAGAAUUUUAAAAUAUUUAAGACAAAGAAAGUAAAUGUUCAAUACCUUGGAUACUGAAUAUUUAUGAUUCUGCACUAUAGUUCUAAGUCGCUAUUUAAAUGGAAGCAAACUCGUGAUAUUGACCAUGUUAACUGCUUUGUAUCUGACCAAAGAUCAGCUUUUCCUCAUGUCUAAUCUCUCAGACGACACUCUGAACUCAUUUGGACUAAAAUUUUGCGUAAAAUCAUCAGGUUUUACACAAACGUGUGGAGUCCGUGCCAGCUCGAGUACACACUGUCAUUAAGGGGACGUACCAAAUAUUAAGAAACUCUAAAAUUCAUGUAAAUAUUUCUAAGAUUCUACUCUACACUCAAGUUGUUGUCAAUAAUAUCAUUCGUAAUGAAAAUUGUUGCAACAUAGAAACAUUUUCAUUAGUGGUCACAGAUUUAUGAGCCCCACUGUAUAUACACUUCUAAUGAAAGCUUUGUUUAAGAAUAUCAUUUUGUGCACUUCUCAUAUUAGGAC